CCAUAUCGAUUUUGCCAGAACAAGCAUAUUUCUUGGAAUACAUAGUUUAAUAUCGAAUUAAUUAUUUUUUUAUUUUACCUAAAAACAGAACAGUAUACAACACUUAUUAUAAAACGAUUUAUAGGUUUUCAAUUGAUAUUACUGAUCUUGAAGUUGGAACUAUUUUUUGCGGAAAGUGCGCGUAAGAAUACCAGUACGCGCUGUGAGCUGCGGUUAUAAAUAGGACUGUUGAGAGGUAGCUGUAAGCAUUCCCGUUUUUACUUUCAUACGGUGUGCACUGUGUCUCGCUCAGUGGUCGGACUCAAAAGACCCGUUUCUCGGUAUGUGAAGUUGGAGAUUCUACACGAAGGGAAAUACGAGCAGAUACAGUCUCGCUGUUUGAGAUGGAAAUGGGAAGGGCGUCAGGCGUGGCUGACUCUGGUGGCCUUGGGCACGAGGAACCUCGGGAGCCACGACCUCGCGCUUGAUGGCCUGUGUGUGCCUGUCACCGGUGUGGUUUGUAAAUCGUAUCAAAAACAUUUUUAUUUCUUUUGUAUAAAAGUUGUGUCAAUAGUAGGUGUUUACAAACUUUUUUUACAGUUUUAUUUUAUCAAAUUUGGAAUACAUGUACGCGUUGAAUUAUUUUGUUGUAGAAUAUUUUUUUUUUUUAUUAAACUCGAAGCGUGAUUCUUAUUGUAAGUGUAUAAUAUUCAAACUAUAUUUAUAAAACCAAAUUACCAAACAAAAUAAAUUGUUAAAGAAUAAAUACAUUAUAAAAAAAAUUAAAAAGGCUACUGAUUUUCCACAUAAUAUGUUCAUUCUUAAUCUAUUAAUUACCUCACUGCUUUUCAGUAUGGCAUUCGUCUUGCGAUAUCAUUGCUAGAGCAGCAAAAGAAAGCAGUCUGGGUUAUCAGCAGCAUCGUUGGCCUAUACAUUCUCAAAAUGAUUGUGGUGAGCGGAAUGUUUGUCUUGUGAAAGAAUGGGAAAGUUUGUUUUUUAGACAUGGCCAAACGCGGUACAGCCCGGUCCAUUUUCACAAUGGUUGUUGUACACAUACAACUUCGCACAUUCAUGUAUGGUGCACUAGCUUCAUCAAUAAUGCGUCCUACCACAUACAAAGAGAGCAAAAGAUGAAAAAUUUGGAAGCUAUUGAAAGGGUGAGCGGGUCAAUCUAUAACAAAUUCCCCGAAAAAGUAUGUUUUCCCAGGUUUAGCAGAGACUAAUAUUCAUGGAGUGUUUAAAUCAACUAUGGAUCAUAGAGCAUCCUUUAAUCUACAGUCCACAACUACACGCGUCAUUUUAAUCAUUUAUGAGAGCUUACAAGUACUUGGCAAAAUUUCUCCAGGUACGGAGGUAUUUGCAUGGCAUUUGAAAUAGUUUAUUCAGAAAACUAAACAAAUACAUUGAAAUUACCGUGAAAAGUCAUAUUAUCUUUAAAUUAAGUAGUAUUGUUGUGUGUAUACAUAAGUUUUGCUCUUAUGGAGCUCGAUUAAUGUGUUUUCGCAGACCAUUUUUGAACAGACACCAACAUUUGCUCUUCAGGCAUCAAAGGGUUAGGGUAUAUACAAAGGACAAUUCUGAGGAAGAAUAAUCAAUAGUCUUCUAUUUGUAUUGUCAGGUAUUCGAAAAUUUUAUGAUCUCAAGUAAACAGUAUUUUAUAAUUGCAAAAAUACUGAUAGUUUCACUUAGUUUUUCUACUCUAUGAUAUGGUUUCAUUUGAAAAACUUUUGUUUAAUGGUGAAAGCUUGUAAUAAAUCAUCUAAUUUACCUGUUUUCUAAAUGUAUAGCAUAGUAGGAAAAUAGUUAUGUCAUAAUUUCUACAAGAGCAUAUGUGUCAGCAAUUAAAAUUUUAAGUAAUUGUAACAAUACAUGAAGCAUUCAUAGAGAAAUAUGAAAUAUAAUUUAUCUAUUAAUGAAACGAUAUAAGAAAAAUAAUGCCAAUUUCACAGCAGUAAAGAUCACACAUAAAUAAUGAGAAUGUGUAGAUAAUUUCAAAAUUGAUAUUUGUUUUACAAGUUUUGAGUUUUCAUUACAUUGAUUUAAAGAAAAAAAUAUAUAAUCUUUCCAUUAGUAUGUUUCUAUAUUAGAAUAACGAUUUACUGUGAACACACAGGAUAAAAUGGAUAAGUUCAUAAAAUUUUCUUUUCUUACAAUGGAAUUAUCACAUAUAUUUUUCUCCAUAUUAGGGCCCAAUAAUGUCUUCACAGAUCGUUUACUGAAGAAAUGAUAUUAUCAUCUCGAGAAUUUAAUUAAACAGUUAAUCAAACCAAAAUUAAAGUUGUGAGUUUUUAAUAUGGUUUUUUUAAUAUAAACUUCAAUAAUUAAUUGUUAAUAUGGAUAUUCUAUUUAAUAAUAUAACACAUGUUUAAUUAUUCAUGUUUAUAAGUAUUAUAGCAAUAAUUAUUUUUUUUUUUUAUUAGUCCACGUAUGAAGAGCAAAACUUUACUAUUAAGGUAUAAAUGAAUUUAAUAUUUAUAUAAAAUAUUAAUAAUUGGAAAAUUUCAGUACUCAAUUAAUACCAAAAGCAGAACAAUAAUUUGUUCGUUAAAUAAGUAGUUUGUGGUAUUGUAUCAAAACAUAAUUUCUUUACUCAUUGUGUUAUUAUUGAUAACCUGUUUUUAUAAAGAAAAAAGUUAAUAAACUUUUUUCAGGUUUAGUGCCAUAUAAUUAUAUUUUAUAGUCAAAGAAUAAACUAUAAAUUGAAGGUUUGCUCUAUUAUGUAAGUUACUUAUUUUCAGUACAAAAAUUUGUUUUAAGAAAUAAUUGGAAAAAGUUAGAUUCUUCAGUUGAUAAUUUAUCAACCAUUUAUUGUAUUUAAGCUCUAAGUGAGCCAAAAAAUAACUAUUUUUACAGACUGCCCAUUAAUAGUUCACCCGGUAUCCAAAACACAAGUUACUGCUGUAAUAUAAUUCAGAAAACUAGAUAUCAUUCUGCCAUGAUCUGUAAGAUUGUAUGUUAUGGUAAAUACGUAUAUCCAUUCCCUUUUAUAAAUGAUUUAAUAACAAUUCUUGAAAAUAGUUUUUCUAUAUAGGGAGUAGGGGGGGGGGAUUAAAAAAAACAAUCUGUUUACACUUUAGCUCAAUAAAACUAUGCGGUUGGCUGAGAAUUUGCUACUCCCCAUGUUUCCAUGGAAUUUGGAUGAUCAAUGUACACCGAUCACAAAAGUACAUUUCAGAUUCAUAAUUGGUAAUUUCAUAUUUUUAUUGUAUUAUAAAAAUGGGAAGGUUAGGGAUUUUUUUGAGCUUCAGGAAAUCCAAUACACUGAAUUCAUUUCCCACUUUUCAAAGCCAAACACAAAUGAGAAGUGGCAAGGAGUUUUUAAUAUGUUAUGUAAUCUAAAUUAAGGUAUGAAUUUUUUCAAUAUAUUUUUGUAUAAAGAAGGCAGAUGUUUGUUUUAUGCUCCAGGAAGUCUAAAUAAUUAAUCUUCAGAUCAGAAAAGUUUAAUAUUCAAUCUUAUAGAGAUUAUGUGAAUAUGUAAAUACAAAUUUGCAGUAUAUACAUAAUUUAUAAAGUUACUUGUAUAACUUUUUUAAAUUUGUUUAAAGUUAAUCAGUGUAAAUUGCUAUUUUUUACUCUGUAUAAUUGACGUAAAUAGUUUUCAAAAAAAACUACAUAAGGAAACAUUAGUCCUGUACAAUCCGCGAUAUAUCAAGUAGAAUGUGAGUAUGAAGAAGUUAUCAUUUUGUGGGAAACAAAAGUGUUUAAUUUAAAAGGUUCAGAAAGAAAACACUGGAUGGCUAGAAAUCUGAAUCAAAGUUUGAAAAAUAUUAAUGCCUUGGCCAUAAGAGUAUAACAAUGAGAAACUUGACAAUUUUUUUUAUAAUUGCAUGCAAGGUAACCAAGUUUUGUUAAAUAAAAUAUAUUAUUUAAUGAGUUUGGAAUGCUGAUGAAAAUAUGAUGGAAGAAGUAAUUUAUUAGAUUCUAUAAAUUUGGAAUAUUGCUUUGUACUGAAAGGUAAUAUUUUUAUUAUAUAAAAAUAUAGAAUUUUUAAAUUCAAGUUCAUGAUAUAAUUUUGAAUGUUAACAUUGUAAUUAACAAUUUGACUAAGUUUUUAGAUAGUGUGCAAUACUUAAGUAUUAUUUAUGAAUGCCUUAUUUUGUCUUAUAUAAAAAUGAAAUUUAGAAUUAAGAUUUUUAUAUUUAUUUUUCAAUUUAUUAGAUUCAUAAAUGAAACAGUGGUCAGUUUUAUUUUUAUAUAAGAAAUAUAGUCGAAGCCUAACCAUUAUUAAAACAUACAAGUAAGUCAUUUUUCAACAGUUCAUCUUCAUUUUAAAAGAAUAUUUUCAGUGUUAUGCAAGAUAUGGGCAAAAAAAGAAAUAAAUCAAGUAUAUGGUCAACAAAACUAAUAUUCAUAAAGAAGAUAAAUAAUAUAUGAAUGAAUAUUACAAAUUUAUUAGUUUAUUUAGCAAAAUACAUUGUACUUAUACAAUAUUGUAUUGCAUAUAAGUUUAGAUAUCAAGUUCAAUUAAAAUUAUACUUAAUUAAUACAAGAAAAAAAAUUUGAGUACAAGUUGAUAAGUAUAAAUUACCAAAAUAACAUCAAUGAAAAUUGCUUACAAUAUUUUUUGCUCUUCAGCUAUACAAAAUGAUAUACAAAAUUAGUGGUUUACAUUUUAAUUAGUCAUUGCAGUAAGUGAUUGUUAUUGGCAUAAUAAUAAGUUUGAUACAUUUGUUUUUUAUAACAGUUGUGGCUUAUGCAAUUAAAUUUUUAUGUUGUGCAAGAAUAUCUAAUAAGUAUGAUUUUUAUUAAGUUGUAAUUCAGUUCAGUUAUGCAAUUAUGAAGUGGUGAGUGUAUAGUUAGUUUGGUGAAGAACUUGCAUAAAUACUUGUUAUUUCAUUUUCUAAGAUAUAAAUUUUUUUUCCAAUAUAUUUCUUAGGGGGGAAAAUUGGGUACAACUAAUUUACUUCUAAAAAUUAUAGGUAUUUGUAAUGAAAUUGGUAAAGGAUCCAGUUUAUGUUAAAUAUCAAUAGCUAAUGUCUUAGUUUAAUUUAAAAAAUAGAAAGAUUGACUUGGAUAAACAACAAUUCAACAAAUGUUUUAAUGCAGCUUCAAAAUCUAUUAGUCCACAUGAACAUUGGCCUUGAAAAUGUAAAGUAUUUAGAAUCAUUAUAUAGCUGUAAAUGGAUGGUUAUUGGAUGUAUGGAAUCUGGAUAGGAUAGAAAAAUAAUACCAAUUUACUACUUCUUUUAUACAUGUCAUUAGUUAAAACUCUUCACAAAUGCAUGCAGCAAAACAAAGAGGAACAAAAUACUAUAAUUUGACAUCUUUCAUGAUCUUAGAACGUGAGUGUAGUUUUUUUUUAACAAUAUUUCUAUCCCUAUUAUUAAAUUGUUAUAGAACACAAAAACAAAAGCUUAGGAAGCUUAUCAACCUGUCAACCACUGCAUUGUUGGGCACCAUUACUUAGGGGAAUGUUUUGGUAGAAUGACAUCUAAGACAGACUUUUUUUUGGCAGAAUUUUAAUUGGUUUAAUAGGAUUUACUAAAUCAUUUGCCCACUUUGAGACAUUGGUUUGGAUAUCAAAUUAUUCAGGAAAUUUUCAUUCGCACAUAUUUGUUUGCCCCUUGCAUUUCCUUUAGAAGAUAUCUUGGGUAUUAACUCUAGAGUGUUUAUACUGAAGUCCACUUUCAUUGUCAGAUCUUCAGGGUCCUUUGGAAAAUAAGAGAGGGCUUAUGGAGUUUGGUAUUUGAAUAUCUUUUGAAGAUAAAUCACUUUCUGAGUUAUAGUCUAGCAAUUGAGUGUUGUCAUUACUAUUUUACAUUCUUCCCUUAAGAUGUUCAUCCAUUUUUGUCAGAACAAAAGACGGAUUUUAUUGUUUCGAAGUCCAUUACAGAGCAAUUGUGGGUAUAAAAGCAGAAUUCCAGCAAAAAAGCAUUUUUUUUUAACCAUAUAUUUUUAUUUAAAUGAAAUAUCUUAUUUUCAUAAAAUAAAUAAUACAAAUGUUCAAAAUAAGAAUUGUAUGAAAAGAAAACAAUCGACAAAAACAUUGAAAUAAAGAUUAAAAUUGCAAUUAGAAUAAAAAAAGGAAAAAAAUCAUUAAAAGAAAGAAAUAGAUGUAUAUUACAAAAAACAAAAAAAUAAACAACACCAAGCAGAUCAUGGGGAUUACAAGGAUACGGAAGCGGAUUUAUCCAAUUUAGUGAUAGGACAUGGAGCUAUAGUCUACUAGGCAUAGGGAAAUGACAACACAGAACAGCAAAAAAAACAAAAUAUUUUCAUUCUGCAUUUUUAUAGCCAAAUUUGAUGUCAAAUUUAAAAAGAUAGUGAAAUACAAGAAACCACUUGCAUUGCAAGGUCUAUAAAUGCAAUGUGAUUUAUUAGAAUAAUUUUUUAAUAAACCUACAAGUAUUGCAAAACAACAUGGAAGUGUAAGAGACCAAGUGUAGACCAAGAUCUAUAUGGACAAAGACGGUAACAUGAGACUUCAUGAAUAUGAAGAAAUUGACAGUAGCAUAGAACUUCAAAAAUUUAAGUAGAAACAGCAGUCUGGAAUGAACAGAAAUUUGUAAACCAAGAUGAUGCACUAACAAUUUAGAAAACUUCUAAGUUAAUUAGGUGGUGUGAUCUAAAUAUUUUUUUUUCGAUAUACAUAUAAUCAUUGUUAUCUAUUUUUUUAAAGAUAAAAUUUGAAUCAAAAUUUAAAACUUCAUACAAAUUUUUAUAUUGCCAUAAAAUUAGUUUAAAUACCUUCAAAUAUAAAUUCAAAUUUUAUCAUCAGUAAAGCAUUAAAAAAUUGUUACUACUGUUAAUAUUUUUUCAAGUAAAAUAAAAUAAAAAUCUA